GACGAACGCUGGCGGCGUGCUUAACACAUGCAAGUCGAACGGAAAGGCCCUGCUUGCAGGGUACUCGAGUGGCGAACGGGUGAGUAACACGUGGGUGAUCUGCCCUGCACUUCGGGAUAAGCUUGGGAAACUGGGUCUAAUACCGGAUAGGAGCCAUCUUUAGUGUGGUGGUUGGAAAGUUUUUUCGGUGUAGGAUGAGCUCGCGGCCUAUCAGCUUGUUGGUGGGGUAAUGGCCUACCAAGGCGGCGACGGGUAGCCGGCCUGAGAGGGUGUACGGCCACAUUGGGACUGAUAUACGGCCCAGCCCCCUACGGGGGGCAGCAGUGGGGAAUUUUGCCCAAUGGGCGCAAGCCUGAUGCAGCGACGCCGCGUGGGGGAUGAAGGCCUUCGGGUUUUAAACUCCUUUCCCCAGGGAAGAAGCUUUUUGUGACGGUACCUAGAGAAGAAGCCCCGGCUAACUACGU
rnacentral:rRNA from 1 species